rnacentral:rRNA from 1 species
CCUACGGGAGGCAGCAGUGGGGAAUAUUGCGCAAUGGGCGAAAGCCUGACGCAGCCACGCUGCGUGAGCGAUGAAGGCCUUCGGGUCGUAAAGCUCUGUGGGGAGAGAAGAAUAAAGCCUGUGAAGAAUGGGCCUUGACGGUAUCUCCUUAGCAAGCACCGGCUAACUCCGUGCCAGCAGCCGCGGUAAU